rnacentral:misc_RNA from 1 species
AAUUUAUGAAAUUGUUAGCCUACUGUUUGCUGCAAUAUUCUUUAUUUGUAGCUUGAAACCAAUUGAUUACAUACAUAUGUUUGAGUUUGCAGAUUGCUCGAUUGAUUCCAGUCUGUAGUGAAUACUGAAUAGUGAUCCUUUCAUUGUUGCAAUAGAUGAUUUUGAGACUUUGACACAUAAAAAAAUGGUGAAUUUGUGUUUGCAGCCGGCCAUGAGGCUGACUUUGUCCCAGUUCUUUUCAAUAUUUAUUACAAUUUUUGUAACACCCCUGAUUUUUUAUAU